rnacentral:rRNA from 1 species
CCUACGGGAGGCAGCAGUAGGGAAUAUUGCUCAAUGGGGGAAACCCUGAAGCAGCAACGCCGCGUGGAGGAUGAAGGUUUUCGGAUUGUAAACUCCUUUUGUUAGAGAAGAUAAUGACGGUAUCUAACGAAUAAGCACCGGCUAACUCCGUGCCAGCAGCCGCGGUAAUACGGAGGGUGCAAGCGUUACUCGGAAUCACUGGGCGUAAAGAGCGCGUAGGCGGGAUAGCAAGUCAGAUGUGAAAUCCUAUGGCUUAACCAUAGAACUGCAUUUGAAACUGUUAUUCUAGAGUAUGGGAGAGGUAGGUGGAAUUCUUGGUGUAGGGGUAAAAUCCGUAGAGAUCAAGAGGAAUACUCAUUGCGAAGGCAGCAUGCCGGCUCCACACUGACGCUGAGGCACGAAAGCGUGGGUAUCGAACAGGAUUAGAUACCCUGGUAGUC